rnacentral:lncRNA from 1 species
CGUCACUUCUGUGCCUCAGUUACUUCUGUGGGCCUCAGUUGCCUCAUCUGUCAAAUGGGGAUGAAGACUGUGAGCCCCAUGAGGGACAGGGAUUGUGCCCGACCUGAUUUGCUCACGUCCACCCCGAUGCUUAGUGUGAAGUAAGUGUUUAACGAACACCGCAGUUAGUAUUGUUAAGUGGCAGUGGUGGGAGGGGAACCCACGUCUUCUGCCUCUUUAUAUUAGGUCACGCCGCUUCCCCGAAGAUUGGAAUCCACGGCAGGGCAAGUAGCCCUCCCGGGGCCCCGGCACCGUUUAAUCCCGCCAACGAUUUGGGUGGUAGCAGGCACGGAGCACCGAGAUAUAAGAGAAUGAGAAGGAAAAGACUAUAAACUCGUCGCGGGCAGGGAACGUGUCUGUUUAUUGUUAUAUUGUACUCUUCCCAGCGUGUAGGACAGUGCUCUGUGCACAAAAAGCGCCCAAUAAAUACGACUGAAUGAAUGAAUGAGUGAUAUCCUGAAUCUCAAAGUGAGCCCUCAUCUCUCUGUUUCAGUUUUAGAUGCUCAUCGAGACUUAUCCUUUCCUGGAUUGGUGAACUAGUUGCCGAGGAAUCCGUCGUUCCCGGGCCAGAGCUCUGAAAGUCGCUACUGAGGCAGCCCAGAAAGAAGAGAAGCUGUCUCAGUUACGUCUCCAGAGAAGGACAGGGGACUCUCCAAGCAUUUGAGGAUUGAUUUUUCUCUCAAAGUCCAGCGGACCUGGGAGCAUUUCAGCAGUAGCUUGCUCAAGGUGGCACGACUGGAGUUGAGAAGACAUGAGCGAAUCAGAACAGCCAACCUGCCACACCUUGGAUUCCGAUCGGAAGGUCAAGGGACAAUUGAAAGGAUGUGGUUUCUAAAGCGAGGACAUCCCAGUCUGAUGAACUCCACCCCCGAGCUGUAAAAAUGAGACUA